AUGGCGCAGCAGAAACAAAUCCGACUAGGAACCAUGAGGUUUCGGGUUCGAUCCCUGGCCUUGCUCAGUGGGUUAAGGAUCCGGCGUUGCAGUGAGUUGCAGUGUAGGUUGCAGACUCGGCUCGAUCCUGCAUUGCUGUGGCUCGAUCCUGCAUUGCUGUGGCUCUGGCAUAGGCUUGGCAGCUAUAGCUCCAAUUAGACCCCUAGCCUGGGAACCUCCAUAUGCCGCGGGUUCGGCCCUAGAAAAGGCAAAAAGACAAAAAAAAAAAUUAAUGAAAUGGAAAAACUAAACAGAUAGGAUCACCUAGAAAAAGCUUUUUUGGGGGAAAAGAUUAGUAAAAUAGAUAUACUUCUGGUUAGACUAAGUUGGGAAAAAGAGAAAAACACAGUGUUUAUUAUAAAAUGCAGUCACUGUGAAAAAUAUAAAUACAAAUGUAAAUAGUAAAAGAAAAUUACAAAUUUCGCAAAUAAAAAAAGUAAUGCAAAGCAGGAAAAAAACAACAAAACAGAAGAAAAUAAAUAUAACAAAAUAAAAACAAAAAAAUAUAGGGAGUUCCCUGGUGGCCAAGGAGUUAAAGGACCUAGCAUAGUCACUGCUGUGGCUUGAGUCACUCCUGUAGCAUGAGUUCAGUCCCUGACCCAUGAACUUCUGUAUGCUGUGUGCGUGGCCAAAAACAAACAAAAAACAAAACAAAAAAACCCAAAAUUAUAACAUAAAUUAAUAAUGUUGAGAGAUGUUGGUCUUGCCAAUAAAUGUGAAUAGACUGUUUACCUGUUAAAAAAGAUUUUCAAAUAGACACAUAAAAUGAACCUAACAAUAUAAAUGGAUGAACAAAAAUUUACCACACGAAUAGAAAAGGAAGAAAAAAGAAAGUUACAAUCCUUUUAGCAAAUUAAAAUUCAAGCCCUAAAGCAAGGAAUGAAACAGAGAAAGAUUCUUUUUUUUUUUUUUUUUGGCUUUCUGCCUUUUCUAGGGCCACACCCACGGCAUAUGGAGGUUCCCAAGCUAGGGGUCGAAUCAGAGCUGUAGCCGCCGGCCUACACCACAGCCACAGCCAUGUCUGCAACCUACACCACAGCUUACGGCAACACCAGAUCUUUAACCCACUGAGCAAGGCCAGGGACCAAACCCGCAACCUCAUGGUUCCUAGUCGGAUUCGUGAACCACUGAGCCACGACGGGAACGCCGAGAAAGUUUCUUUAUAAAGGUAAAGGCACAAUGCAAAUUAAAUAUACAAGAAUUAUGAAUAUCUAUGUACCAAAUAAUAUAAUAAUCAUCACCUAUAGGUGAUAGAGCAAGAACUAUAAGAAGGGCAAGGAGAAAUAAAUAGAAAUGAACAAUAAAUAGGAGGCUAGCACACCACUCUCAACAUGAACCAGGUGAAGUGGACAUAAGUAAAUAAUACAUAUAUCUCUAUCUGUAUGUAUAGAAGAUCUAAAUGGAAAAAGCAGUAAGAUAUGCUGAGCAUCAUACCCUGAUAAUAGAAAAUAUACCUUGUUCUCAAGCACACUAGAUCUUUUUUGAGAACUGACAAUAAGACACCCUUACAAAAGAUCAGUUGGUUUCAUAAAGUACAAGUAUUACAAACAAUACUAUAAGAUCACAGUACAGUAAAACUGGAAAUUAAAAUACAGUCCACAAACAAAACAAAGCAAGUCUUUCAUCUGGCAAUUUAAAUGCUUCUUAUUCAUCUUGGUGAAAAGUAAACACACACAAAAAUAUCACAGAAACUUUGGAAAAUAAUGGUAAUGAAAACACUACAUAUCAGAAUCUAUUAGACUCUUUAAAAGAGAGAUCAGAAGAAACUUUAUAAUACUAAAGAUCUACAUCAAUAAAAUAAAAGAAUGAAAAUAAAUUAAAUUUUCAAGUCAGAAAGGUAAGAAAAGCAAAGUAAGGAAAUAUUAAAGAUUAAAUUAGAAAUUAAUAAGGUAGAGAACAGGAAAAUAGGUUAAAUUAAAUCAAAAUCCUAUGUCUUUGAGAGAAUCUGAAAGUUAGAUAAAUCACUAAUUUAAUCAAAAGGCAAAAGCAAACAGAUAAGAAAUAACAAGAUGGAAAUAACUACUGUACAGGGGAAACAUAUUGUAAGAAUCUACUUUGUACAUAUCUUUAUAAUUAAAUUUGAAAAUGAAGAUUAAAUGAAUAAUUUCUUAGAGAAAAAGACUUUACAAAAAUUGACCCAGUAGAGACAGAAAGCUUAAACCAACCAAUUUCUAUAAUUGAAACAGAAAAAGUUAUCAAGGGGAGUUCCCUUGGUGGCUCAGUGGUUAAUGAACCCAAUUAGGGUCCAUGAGGAUGUGGGUUUGAUCCCUGGCCUUGCUCCUCGGGUUAAGGAUCUGGCUUGCCGUGAGCUGCAGUAUAGGUCGCAGACGCCAAUCCUGAGUUGCUGUGGCUGUGGCUAUAGUUGCCCCUAGCCUGGGAACCUCCAUAAAAUACAAAAAAAAAAAAAAAUCAAGAAAUUACUCCCCAUAAAAGCACCUAGCUCAGAUGAUUUUACAAAGCAAUUCUGCCAAACUUUAAGAGA
rnacentral:lncRNA from 1 species